rnacentral:rRNA from 1 species
UUUUAAAGUCUGACCUGCCCACUGAGAGUUUUUAAAUGGCCGCAGUAUUCUAACUGUGCAAAGGUAGCAUAAUCAAUAGUCUUUUAAUUGAAGGCUGGUAUGAAUGGUUGGACGAGGUAUAAACUGUUUCAUGUAAAUUUAUAAUAGAAUUUUAUAUUUUAGUUAAAAAGCUAAAAUGUUGUUAAAAGACGAGAAGACCCUAUAAAUCUUUAUAUUUUAUAUAAUAUAAAUUUUUUGGAUUUGUUUUAUUUUUAUUAUAUAAAAUAUUUUGUUGGGGUGAUGUUAAAAUUUGAUAAACUUUUAAUUUUUUUUUGUCAUUAAUUUAUGUAUUAUUGAUCCAUUAGUAGUGAUUAUAAGAUUAAGUUACUUUAGGGAUAACAGCGUAAUUUUUUUGGAGAGUUCAUAUCGAUAAAAAAGUUUGCGACCUCGAUGUUGGAUUAAGAUAUAAUUUUAGGUGUAGCUGCUUAAAU